UACGGGGGGGGCAAGCGUUGUUCGGAAUUACUGGGCGUAAAGGGCUCGUAGGCGGCCAACUAAGUCAGACGUGAAAUCCCUCGGCUUAACCGGGGAACUGCAUCUGAUACUGGAUGGCUUGAGUUCGGGAGAGGGAUGCGGAAUUCCAGGUGUAGCGGUGAAAUGCGUAGAUAUCUGGAGGAACACCGGUGGCGAAGGCGGAUCUCUGGGCCUUACCUGACGCUCAGGCGCGAAAGCGUGGGGAGCGAACAGG
rnacentral:rRNA from 1 species